rnacentral:tRNA from 1 species
GCGGUCGUAGCUCAAUUGGUUAGAGCACCGGUUUGUGGUACCGGGGGUUGCGGGUUCAAUUCCCGUCGAUCGCCCCA